GGAAAUCCACGAUGGAGGAAGAAGGAAGGGCUCCCAGACUGAAGCGGUUCAACAACCGUGCCGGCCUUGUUUCUUCUCGUAUUCUAUGCCAGAGAAGAACGAUAACAAUUAUGCCUUACGUGAAAGUAACAGAAGGUCAUCCAUCAUCUGCCAAGCCAAUUGUUUGUGUUGAAACAAUUUUUAUAUGUUUUCCAUUAGCCAGAAAUGACAAUAACAAUCAAGCUGAUUAGUGGUCCCAUUCAUAUAUCGACUGUAGGUCGGGACAGGGAACUGAUACAAGUACCAGAGCCAAUGUGAAGAUGGCUUCCGAACCAUAUAAUGUAGGCUAAGUGGAGAACGACAGUACCAAACACAGGCUGGUAUUAACAAGCCACAAUGAAGACAACACAUGAAAUGUACAAUACAUGUAUCUUUGACGAGGCUUAAACCUGCUCAACAGAUACAAAAGAGCUUCAAAGAA